rnacentral:misc_RNA from 1 species
AAAAAUGGUAAAAAGACACUUGAGGAGGUGAAAUUAACCUGAAGACGUGCUAUCAUCUAUCUAUACAGGAUGAACAUUGAUCUUUUGCUUUUCUAUACAUGGCUGGCUAAGAUUCUUACUUGGAUAUUUACAAUUUUGAAUAUUGUUUGAAAAAGAUCAACAGUAAACAUAGGAUGGGGCACUUCUAAAGUGAUGUGCUGCUAGCACAGCCAACAAAAGAUGUCACUCUGAUUGAUGAAUUAGAAGAAGCUUCAAGGGACAUUUACAUAAUCAAUUCCAUAAAUUCUCCUUGAAGGGACCAGAAUCUUGUAAUAAAUUCAUAACAAGUUUAACCUGAGCUGUUUCUCGUACCAAGAAAUCAUCAAUGAUUCUCUUAAAAUCCUCAUCUAGAAUAUAGUGACAGCUGUAAGUAGGUACUGGCAUAUAUCCCCUUUGAAUUUUGUGUUCACCCUGAGCACCAGCCUCUACUGUGCUAAGAUUUAGUUCAAUUGCCGCAUCUAUGGCCUGGUAAUAGCAUGCUUCAAAAUGCAAAUUCGCAUAGUAGGUUCCUGGGAGACAUCCCCAUAGUCGUCCAUACAAGGUAUCUCCUCCAAUAAAAUUCAGGGCAGCAGCUACAAGCUCGUCACCUUCUUCCGCAACAACAAGCAGUACAUUGUCGCCCAUCUUUG